rnacentral:rRNA from 1 species
UGGGGAGAUUCAUCGUCAGCGACACUGGCCACGCGGCCGACUCGCGAUGCGCCGGGGACCCUCGCGAGGGGGUUAACUCUCGGUGCACGCGUUGACCGCGUUCGCGUCCGGUGGCGUCGGCGUGCACUUCUCCCCUGGUAGGACGUCGCGACCCGUUGGGUGCCGACCUAAGGCCCGGGUGGAUCACGUUCGUCGCGCCGCCCAAAAGGCGUCGCGCGACGAUCGCCCGGUCGCCAGUUUAGUCGGCCGCCCGGCGGUACUCGCACGGUAUCGGGCCGCAGUAAGCGCAGUUCGCUGCUCUAACGCUGCGUCGGGCCCGCCGCAAGCGCCAGUCGGUUUCUCGGAUGUUUUAACGGACCUAGCGCCGUCGCCGAGGCCGAUCGGCUGUUGGCAGGCGGUGUUCUUCGACCGGCCAAGAAAACCGCGCGUCGGUCGCCCUUUAACCGGGGCUGGCAGGCGCGCGACGAUACCGGUCGGCGACGCUACUGCUUUGGGUAAUCUCAGGACCCGUCUUGAAACACGGACCAAGGAGUCUAACAUGUGCGCGAGUCAUUGGGACUUGGUAUGCCUAAAGGCGAAAUGAAAGUGAAGGUCGGCCCUCGCGGUCCCCUCGCGGGGCCGUCGUCGGGCCGUCCGAGGGUGGAUGGGCCGCGUGUAGAUGCGGCUCCGCACUCCCGGGGCGUCUCAAUCUCAUCGCGAGGAGAGGCGCACCCAGAGCGUACACGUUGGGACCCGAAAGAUGGUGAACUAUGCCUGGUCAGGACGAAGUCAGGGGAAACCCUGAUGGAGGUCCGUAGCGAUUCUGACGUGCAAAUCGAUCGUCGAA